GUCAAGGGUGCUGUGCUCCUGGAUCAUUUGUCUUAAUCCAGCCGUCAACCCAGUUGCAUUGAGUUGCCUUGUCACGGUUUCAGAGGAAAAAGACCACGGCUUCCCCUAACAACAUUGGAUUCUUGUCGGACACAUCAUAGAUACCAUCAAAAAUGAUCUUCCUUCCAUUCCAUUGCAUUAUUCCAACUGUCAACAAUAGAGGAGUAAAUGUUGUGUUUCCUAGGUCCUUACCUUCCAGAUGAUACAGCACAUGCUAAUUAAAAACUGCCUUCUAAGUAUGGUAACUUCAUGGGUCUACCAUUUACCUUGUCCAUAUGUCACCAGGUGGUAAUUGAGGCUUUUUUUAUAGUGAAUGGUUUCCACUAUGGACAGAAGAGUAGUACUGUAUAUGCACGUAGAACUAUGCAUUAUUUGUGUUUAUAAUUUUAAUAAUAUGUUCAUUGUGUUCUGUAUCCCAAAUCUCAGUCUUACAUUAAUUAUAAUAAAGGUGAAGUCAGUUCCAUUACCUUAAGUAAACUGAACAGGGAUGAUUUUAUCAGACAUUUAAACUAAGAGGUCAGUGAGCUUUAGACCACUGGGAUCCUGAGUUUGUCGAACUCUUUCCACUCAAAUACAGAGCAACACUGAUCUCAAGUGGCAAAAUUAGCA